rnacentral:rRNA from 1 species
CACUGGUACUCGAGUGGCGAACGGGUGAGUAACACGUGGGUGAUCUGCCCUGCACUUCGGGAUAAGCCUGGGAAACUGGGUCUAAUACCGGAUAGGACCACAUUUUGGAUGGUGUGGUGGAAAGUUUUUCGGUGUGGGGUGAGCUCGCGGCCUAUCAGCUUGUUGGUGGGGUAAUGGCCUACCAAGGCGUCGACGGGUAGCCGGCCUGAGAGGGUGUACGGCCACAUUGGGACUGAGAUACGGCCCAG